rnacentral:rRNA from 1 species
AUGUAUUUGGCGAGUGCCACGAGGCCUGACAUCUCCUUUGCUGUGAGCAAGCUGAGUCGGUUUGUGUCAAAACCGGGAGAUGAUCAUUGGCGUGCGCUUGAGAGAGUUAUGUGCUACUUGAAGGGCACUGCGAGCUAUGGGAUUCACUACACCGGGUAUCCAAGGGUACUGGAGGGUUAUAGUGACUCGAACUGGAUAUCUGAUGCUGAUGAGAUUAAGGCCACAAGUGGUUAUGUUUUUACACUUGGUGGUGGCGCUGUUUCCUGGAAGUCUUGCAAGCAGACCGUCUUAACGAGGUCAACUAUGGAAGUAGAAAUCACAUCAUUAGACACUGCCACUGUUGAAGCAGAGUGGCUUCGUGAGCUAUUGAUGGACUUACCUAUGGUUGAAAAACCAAUACCCCCUAUCAUGAUGAACUGUGAUAAUCAAACUGUGAUCGUCAAGAUAAACAAUUCUAAGGACAAUAUGAAGUCCUCAAGGCAUGUGAAGAGGAGAUUAAAAUCUGUCAGGAAACUGAGGAACUCCGGAGUUAUUACAUUGGAUUAUAUACAAACGUCGAAAAUCUUGGCACAUCCCUUCACAAAGGGUCUAUCACGUAAUGUGAUAGAUAAUGCAUCGAUGGAGAUGGGUCUGAGACCCACC